rnacentral:lncRNA from 1 species
CUUUCUAGUGAAGGCUCUGAACAAAAUGAAACAUGUUUAGUAAUGUAGCAUCAUUACAUGUGCCUAUCGACUCAAAUUAUGAAGAUUCUGAAAGCUUGAAAACAUCAUGCUUUAUUCAUGUACAGGUUCCAAGAGUCAAGCAAAUGACUGGGAAACAAAACUGAGUAUUACUGAGUUUUCGGUGAGCUUCAGACUAACAAUGCUUUGAGUUCAUUUGUUACUAUGGUUAUGCAGCCCAUAGGUUUUGUUGUCGUUGUUUACGAAUAAGUCCACUAUGUGCAUGCAGUGCCUCAAGACGUCAGAAGGGGGCGUGGGUCCCACCAAAGUUGAAUUAUAGAAAACGGCAAGCUGCCACAUGGAUACUGGAAAACAAACCAGAACCCUCUAAACAAGCUACAAGGUUUUAACUGCUCAGCCACCCCGAAGCUUCCCAAAAUUUCCGAUGAACUUAAACACUGUAUUUCCAUUGAUAUGUUAUCACAACACUGGUCGAUGGAGUUUCUGGAAAAUGGCAGUCAUAACUUUCAUCCGGAGAGCAUCCUUGCAUAUCUCAACUCAUGAACAAGGGUAGCGUUUCUGAGAGCUCUUCUCCAUUAUGCAGUCAUGGCCUGGGACAAGAGACUUCCAAGACCUUUGAUCUCCCGAAACUACAUCUUCCUGGUAUGGUGUUACCCACCUGCAGGCCGCUCAGUCUUCACAAGGGAGUCUUUUCCAGGAGUAAGUAAGUGGUGGACUGGGACAUAGGGAAAGCACAGGCAAGCCACAUCCUUGCCUAUCACACCUCAGUUAUACACUGCUAGCUUCCCCUCUU